CCCGGUUCACGUGACUGGCGCCUCGGGAUGGAUCACCAUCGGGGAGCGUGAACCGUCGAGAGCCGCGCGCCUGGGCACUUCAU
rnacentral:ncRNA from 2 species